CAGCAGCCGCGGGAAUACAGAGGGUGCGAGCGUUACUCGGAAUUACUGGGCGUAAAGCGUGCGUAGGUGGUUGUUUAAGUCUGCUGUGAAAGCCCUGGGCUCAACCUGGGAAUUGCAGUGGAUACUGGGCAACUAGAGUAAGGUAGAGGAUAGUGGAAUUUCCGGUGUAGCAGUGAAAUGCGUAGAGAUCGGAAGGAACAUCUGUGGCGAAGGCGACUAUCUGGGCCAUUACUGACACUGAGGCACGAAAGCGUGGGGAGCAAACAGGAUUAGAUACCCGAGUAGUCCCUGUCUCUUAUAC
rnacentral:rRNA from 1 species